rnacentral:rRNA from 1 species
GAUGAACGCCGGCGGCGUGCCUAAUACAUGCAAGUCGAGCGAAUGGAUUAAGAGCUUGCUCUUAUGAAGUUAGCGGCGGACGGGUGAGUAACACGUGGGUAACCUGCCCAUAAGACUGGGAUAACUCCGGGAAACCGGGGCUAAUACCGGAUAACAUUUUGAACCGCAUGGUUCGAAAUUGAAAGGCGGCUUCGGCUGUCACUUAUGGAUGGACCCGCGUCGCAUUAGCUAGUUGGUGAGGUAACGGCUCACCAAGGCAACGAUGCGUAGCCGACCUGAGAGGGUGAGCGGCCACACUGGGACUGGAACACGGCCCAGACGCCUACGGGAGGCGGCAGUAGGGAAUCUUCCGAAAUGGACGAAAGUCUGACGGAGCAACGCCGCGUGAGUGAUGAAGGCUUUCGGGUCGUAAAACUCUGUUGUUAGGGAAGAACAAGUGCUAGUUGAAUAAGCUGGCACCUUGACGGUACCUAACCAGAAAGCCACGGCUAACUAUGUGCCAGCCGCCGCAGUAA